UUAGGAAGUACUUCUUUACCGAAAGGGUUAUUAAGCAUUGGAACGGGCUGCCCAGGGAGGUGGUGGAGUCACCAUCCCUGGAGGUCUUUAAAAGACGUUUAGAUGUAGAGCUUAGGGAUAUGGUUUAGUGGAGUACUUAGUGUUAGGUCGGAGGUUGGACUCGAUGAUCUUGAGGUCUCUUCCAACCUAGAGAAAUCUGUGAAUCUGUGAAUCUGUGAAACAACUAUAUCCACCAGUUCCCUCAGGACCUGUGAAUGUAUCUCAUCAGGUCCCACAGGCAGUCUCCUGGUUCCUUCUAGAGAGGGCCCACAAUCACUGAUGUACCUAUAGCCUUUCUUGUUGCCCUUGACAUCCAUGGCCAAAUUCUAAUAGGGCUUUAGCUUUCCUAACCUGAUCCCCGAUAUGACAAAUAAUAUUUUAUUUCCUUGCUACUACAGCCAUAUCUGAAUCCAAAACUGUCCCCUUUUAGAGAUACAUCUUCUGAGUUUCUUUACCCAGUCUGUCACAAUGAAAAGGCUCCUCUAUGAAACUGUUGUCUUCCUACUUCAUAUACCUACUGUGCCCUGGGAGCUGUUGAAAUACUCUAUUCUAGAAAGUUUACCAAUUAUGUUACUUGAGAAUGACACUCAGACCUCUGUGGCUGCUUAACCAAAAAGUCUUCCUAUUUUAUUUGCUAUUUAGUACCUGUGCAUCAUAAUGAAUACUUCUGGAAUUAGCACGGGACGAAGGAAUGGCCUCAAGUUGUUCCAAGGGAGGUUUGGGUUGGAAAUUAGGAGAAAUUUCUUCUCAGAAAGAGUGGUUAGGCAUUGGAAUGGGUUGCCCACCGAGUUGGUGGAGUUGCCGUCCCUGGGGGAGUUUAAGGAAGGUUUGGAUGUGGCAGUUAGGGACAUGGUUUAGUGGGUGAUAUCAGUGGUAGGGGGAUGGUUGGACCAGAUGAUCUUGGUGGUAUUUUCCGACUUUAGUGAUUCUAUCAUCCUAUGGUUCUACGGUUUUAUUGUCAGCUUCCUGAUGGAUUUUUUUUCUGUGUCUUCAAAAAGCACCAACUUAAAAGUUAUUCAACAUCAGCUUGUAACUGUAGUAAGCAUCAUGUGCAGAAAGCCAUGACCAAGAAAGAAGCAAAAGGAGAUAGUCUCAGUGGAAGGGUCAAAAAUGAGGAGUUGGUUAUGUAUGUCUCUAAAUUCAGCUCCAGUGUCCAAUGAAGUUAAUUGCAAAACUCUCAUGUGGGAUUGAUUUCACAUACAUGGCUGAACAGGAAAAGGUUGCAUAUAAAGUUUUCGGCUGGAAACAUUAAAAAGUCAUUAAUUCAACAUGGUGGAUGACUCACAAGUAUUAUAUGAAG
rnacentral:lncRNA from 1 species